UCCGCCUAUGGUGAGUACUGCUGUGGCCCUCCUUUUUGUCGGGGACGGUCUCCUGGGCUUCACUGUCCGGGAAUCGGAGUCGACGAUGAUACUUUGAGUAAAUUAGAGUGUUCAAAGCAAGCCUACGCUCUGAAUACUUUAGCAUGGAAUAUCGCGAUAGGACUCUGGCCUAUCUCGUUGGUCUGUAGGACCGGAGUAAUGAUUAAGAGGGACAGUCGGGGGCAUUCGUAUUUCAUUGUCAGAGGUGAAAUUCUUGGAUUUAUGAAAGACGAACUACUGCGAAAGCAUUUGCCAAGGAUGUUUUCAUUAAUCAAGAACGAAAGUUGGGGGCUCGAAGACGAUUAGAUACCGUCGUAGUCUCAACCAUAAACGAUGCCGACUAGGGAUUGGAGGAUGUUCUUUUGAUGACUUCUCCAGCACCUUAUGAGAAAUCAAAGUUUUUGGGUUCCGGGGGGAGUAU
rnacentral:rRNA from 1 species